rnacentral:rRNA from 1 species
CCAGAGGGCAAUGUUGUAAAAACAAAGAACAAGAAAAAACAACAAUAAAAACCAUCAACCCUACACCGGAUUGCUAACCAGGAUAAACUAAAAGGAUGAGAAGGAACUCGGCAAACAUAAUAACACUAGCCUCGCC